GCGGGGGCACGGGGGGCCUACGGGAGGCAGCAGUCGAGAGGCUUCGGCAAUGGGGGAAACCCUGACCGAGCGACGCCGCGUGCGGGAUGAAGGCUUUCGGGUUGUAAACCGCUGUCAGGAGGGAAGAAUCCCCUCGUGUUAACACCACGAGGGUUGACGGUACCUCCAAAGGAAGCUCCGGCUAACUCCGUGCC
rnacentral:rRNA from 1 species